rnacentral:rRNA from 1 species
AUUGAACGCUGGCGGCAGGCCUAACACAUGCAAGUCGAGCGGAUGAAGAGAGCUUGCUCUCUGAUUUAGCGGCGGACGGGUGAGUAAUGCCUAGGAAUCUGCCUGGUAGUGGGGGAUAACGUUCCGAAAGGAACGCUAAUACCUCAUACGUCCUACGGGAGAAAGCAGGGGACCUUCGGGCCUUGCGCGAUACGAUGAGCCUAGGUCGGAUUAGCUAGUUGGUGAGGUAAUGGCUCACCAAGGCUACGAUCCGUAACUGGUCUGAGAGGAUGAUCAGUCACACUGGAACUGAGACACGGUCAAGACUCCUACGGGAGGCAGCAGUGGGGAAUAUUGGACAAUGGGCGAAAGCCUGAUCCAGCCAUGCCGCGUGUGUGAAGAAGGUCUUCGGAUUGUAAAGCACUUUAAGUUGGGAGGAAGGGCAGUAAGUUAAUACCUUGCUGUUUUGACGUUACCGACAGAAUAAGCACCGGCUAACUUCGUGCCAGCCGCCGCCGUAAGAC